rnacentral:misc_RNA from 1 species
GAUGAAGAACGCAGUGAAAUGCGAUAAGUAAUGUGAAUUGCAGAAUUCAGUGAAUCAUCGAAUCUUUGAACGCACAUUGCGCCCCCUGGUAUUCCGGGGGGCAUGCCUGUUCGAGCGUCAUUUCACCACUCAAGCCUCGCUUGGUAUUGGGCAACGCGGUCCGCCGCGUGCCUCAAAUCGACUGGCUGGGUCUUCUGUCCCCUAAGCGUUGUGGAAACUAUUCGCUAAAGGGUGUUCGGGAGGCUACGCCGUAAAACAACCCCAUUUCUAAGGUUGACCUCGGAUCAGGUAGGGAUACCCGCUGAACUUAAGCAUAUCAAUAAGCGGAGGA